ACGGAUGUAAGAAUAAAUGUGAGAGAAAAUACAUUUCCUCAGAGUUUAAACCAUUGGUAAUUUGGGUUCUUAUUAAGGUAGUAUAAGUACUUAUAUCUUAACUACUAUAGCAUUAAUAUCUUAAAAGCUUCCUAGAUUUCAUCUGUGAAUUACAUCCAAAGGACAUAGGCUACAGAGAAGACUGGCAUUCUGGUCUGUAGGUGGCCUUAUUUCCUUUUCAUUGCAAUUGGAUUUCAUGCAGGUAUGUAAAGAAUACCAGAGGAAAGAAAGAAAUCUGUCAAAAAUUCGUCUCUGUCUUUAAACUACAUUUUUAUAAACUGUCCUUCAGAACCGUGGAAAUGCAUUACGGUUGUCUCCUCAUGAAGCCUGGGGAGUUAUUGGAGAUGCCUGAGCAUGGAUAUGACAAAUAUAAUCUUCAAACAACGAGAGGAACGAAAGCAGGGUUCAACUGAUAGGCAAGUUAGUGCCAGAAGGAGAUUCUGGUAUGUUCAAAGGAUUCCUCACGUACUUUGGAAUCUAAUAGCUUUUGUAUAUAAAGCCAAGUCAAAAUUAAAGAAAAGGUUAACUGUACUUACUCUGGUGGUCACUUAUUAUCAAG
rnacentral:lncRNA from 1 species